AAAAAUAUAAUAUUAUUAAUAAUAACAACAAUAGUAACAAUUAUAAUAAUAAUACAUUUUAAUUUUAAAACCUAACCAGGAAUAGAGACUGCAAAUGAGCCAUUAUGUAGCUAAGCAAAAAUUUUAUUGGUCACGCGGACCAAUACUUUAUGCCACAAUAAACUAAAUUAAGCCAUGUUGAAUGCUCAUUGUGAAAUUUUGUAACCCCUUACUUUCCUCUAUGUGGUUGAAUGCAUCUCUUUCUUUCUUGUUUUUGGUCUUCCACUCAUCAGUCAUCUUUUCCUGUCCCCGACUGAGGUGUCUGUGGGCCUAGGUGACGAAGAAAAGUGAUAGCAGAGGGUGGCGAGCUUUGUGGGCUGAAAGACCUCCCUCAGCAUAGACCCUUCAGCCCAGCAGAAAGAUUCAUGAUUAGAAGUGAGCAACAGAACAAGAUGAAGUUCACUCUAUUUGCUGCCAUUCUUUUCUCUAUAGGAUGGAUGAGUGCUGUGGUAGCAGAUGAGGGACCUUCACCAAAUUGUUGUUUAAGAGUGUCAAAAACCAAAAUUUCAGUUGAAGCCAUUAUGAAUUAUUCUAUGCAAGCUGCACCGCCAUGUCCUAUCAGAGCAGUAAGAUUUCACACCAAGAAAAACAAAACUAUUUGUUCAGAUCCAAACGAAGGUUGGGCUAAGAAAGCAAUAACUCAUGUGAAUCAGAAACUGAACCCUCUGAAACUUUCCAAAGAGCCUACAAUGUGCUAUACAAUUACAACAAACUUGAUCCCAACCACAACUUCAACAAUCAAAACACCAGGAACAGAGACAGAGACCAGCACGAGUACACCUGUACCAACAACAAUGAAAACAAAAAAAACUAGACUGGAGAAAGUGAUCAGCAAAACAACCAUCCAACCAGCAUCA